rnacentral:rRNA from 1 species
GUGGGGAAUAUUCCGCAAUGGACGAAAGUCUGACGGAGCAACGCCGCGUGAGUGAUGAAGGUUUUCGGACUGUAAAGCUCUGUUGUUUAGGACGAAAGUGCCUGUUGCAAAUAGUUACAGGUAUUGACGGUACUGAACGAGGAAGCCACGGCUAACUACGUGCCAGCAGCCGCGGUAAUACGUAGGUGGCAAGCGUUGUCCGGAAUUAUUGGGCGUAAAGAGCAUGUAGGCGGGAAUCUACGUCUGUUGUGAAAAUGCGGGGCUCAACCCCGUAUUGCGAUGGAAACUGGGUUUCUUGAGUGCAGGAGAGGAAAGGGGAAUUCCCAGUGUAGCGGUGAAAUGCGUAGAUAUUGGGAGGAACACCAGUGGCGAAGGCGCCUUUCUGGACUGUGUCUGACGCUGAGAUGCGAAAGCCAGGGUAGCGAACGGGAUUAGAAACCCGAGUAGUCC